rnacentral:rRNA from 1 species
UACAGAGGGUGCGAGCGUUGUUCGGAAUUAUUGGGCGUAAAGGGCGCGUAGGCGGCGCCACAAGUCACUUGUGAAAACUCUGGGCUCAACCCAGAGCCUGCAGGCGAAACUGUGGUGCUGGAGUAUGGGAGAGGUGCGUGGAAUUCCCGGUGUAGCGGCGAAAUGCGUAGAUAUCGGGAGGAACACCUGUGGCGAAAGCGGCGCACUGGACCAUAACUGACGCUGAGGCGCGAAAGCUAGGGGAGCAAACAGG